CUUUCGUGGUUUGAGCUCCGACUUCGACAGAGCUGUUUUCGGUAUUUUUUUCCUGUGAUGGUCUUGCAAAGUGCUGAGCCCGGACUACAUUCUCUUUUCCCUCUUCGCUGCGGUGCAAAAACGGUAUUGCUGGCAGUUUGUUAGGCAGUGCCUGUGUUGAGAAACUGCAACUGCUAGUGUUUUUUUUUUCUUCUCUUGUUAUUUGUUUUUUUCCUGAUUGAAGUGCCAAAGCGGGAUGGGCGCUGGUAGUAUUGGCGACUGCCGUGCGGUGUUGUUGCUGUUCUUGAUACGAUUGAGAUGUGUCAAAGCGAAGUAGCGGUGCUCCCCUCGGGCUCCGUCGUCGCUGCCCCUGCGACCUUCCCUCGACCUGUGUCGAAGACAAAGAGCCACCCCAAGAUCCCAUUCGCAUUCGUAUUCUUAUUCCCAUUCCCUUUCACGUUGAUGGUGGGUUCAAUUUUUGCAAAGAUCAGGCCGAGCACGUCAACAACCUGUUCAGCAUUGCUCGGACUAUCGCGAAGGAACUCGUUGGAGCCGUCUUUAGUGGCUGCUUGAUCCAGUUUUUCAUUGAACAUUAGUGUUCCUCGAGCUGAUACAGCAUCGACACUGAGAGUUAUUGUGGGGAGCUGCGAUGAAGAGUGGCUAAGGUAGUUGGUGGUCGAGUUGCGGGUCAAUUUGCAUUGUUUCAAUUGGUUGUGGAUGUGCGACCGCUGGUGGCCUUGUAGCUGUGGAGAAACUAAUAGGUGUUCAUUUUAAUUGUCGAAGUAUAUUAAAAAUGCAGAUGGUUUUUUGAGCUACAGCAUGAUGUUGCUUGGAACUUACUGGUUCCGAUUGCAAGAAGCGCUGUACUGGGGUGCGGCGGAUGAGCAGACAAUCCAUCCUCCUAUGAUUGCUAGCUCGUUUAAUCUCAUCGAUUUGAACUGAACCAAGUGUUAGGCUGGCAACGUCCAAUUAAUUCGUGAACAUCGACAAUCACAUAAGUGUCAUGGGGUGAUUUCUCUUGCUGCCGAGUACUUGCGCAUUUAGUCCAAAUGUUCUCGUGAGGAGUAAUUUCCUUCUUCUUCGACGUUGUGAUAUACCAAUCUCAAGAAUUGCUAGUCUUUCAACCGGAAUACAAGUUUAGAAGUACUAUCAUAGAAGUCUAAUCGUGGCAGCUUUGAUCAGUUUUUGAGGAUUUCAUCACCUGGUUUCGACAUUAGAGAAGAUCAGCAAGAAGUCACAGAGGGAGCGUGAAGCUUGCAGAAGGGAAUCGCAUCUCACAGGUUUUGAAUUAAAAAUUGUUAUUUAUCGAUUGUUAAUUGAAUUACAUUUAUCAAAUCAACUUGAGCCAAAA